AUUGAACGCUGGCGGCAGGCCUAACACAUGCAAGUCGAGCGGUAGCACAGGGAGCUUGCUCCCGGGUGACGAGCGGCGGACGGGUGAGUAAUGUCUGGGCAACUGCCUGCUGAAGGGGGAUAACUACUGGAAACGGUAGCUAAUACCGCAUAACGUCGCAAGACCAAAGUGGGGGACCUUCGGUCCCCACACCAUCGGACGCGCCCAAAUGGGUUUAGCUAGUAGGUGGGGUAAUGGCUCACCUAGGCGACGAUCCCUAGCUGGUCUGAGAGGAUGACCAGCCACACUGGAACUGAGACACGGUCCAGACUCCUACGGGAGGCAGCAGUGGGGAAUAUUGCACAAUGGGCGCAAGCCUGAUGCGGCCAUGCCGCGUGUAUGAAGAAGGCCUUCGGGUUGUAAAGUACUUUCAGCGGGGAGGAAGGCGGUGAAGUUAAUAGCUUCACCGAUUGACGUUACCCGCAGAAGAAGCACCGGCUAACUCCGUGCCAGCCGCCGCCGUAA
rnacentral:rRNA from 1 species